rnacentral:rRNA from 1 species
AGAAUCAACGCUGGCGGCGUGCCUAACACAUGCAAGUCGAACGAGAAAGUGGAGCAAUCCAUGAGUAAAGUGGCGCACGGGUGAGUAACACGUGACUAACCUACCCUUGAGUGGGGAUAACCUAGGGAAACCUGGGCUAAUACCGCAUAAUACCUUCGGGUCAAAGGAGCAAUUUCGCUUAAGGAGGGGUCGCGGCCGAUUAGUUAGUUGCGGGGUAAUGGCCCACCAAGACUGUGAUCGGUAU